rnacentral:rRNA from 1 species
CUACGGGGGGCAGCAGUGAGGAAUAUUGCACAAUGGGGGGAACCCUGAUGCAGCAACGCCGCGUGGAGGAUGACGCAUUUCGGUGUGUAAACUCCUUUUAUAUGUCGAGAAAAUGACGGUAGCAUAUGAAUAAGCACCGGCUAACUCCGUGCCAGCAGCCGCGGUAAUACGGAGGGUGCAAGCGUUACUCGGAAUCACUGGGCGUAAAGGACGCGUAGGCGGGUUGGAAAGUCAGGUGUGAAAUCCUACAGCUUAACUGUAGAACUGCACUUGAAACUUCUAAUCUAGAGUAUGGGAGGGGGAGAUGGAAUUAGUGGUGCAGGGGUAAAAUCCGUAGAUAUCACUAGGAAUACCUAAAGCGAAGGCGAUCUCCUGGAACAUUACUGACGCUAAGGCGUGAAAGCGUGGGGAGCAAACAGGAUUAGAUACCCUAGUAGUC